rnacentral:rRNA from 1 species
GACGAACGCUGGCGGCGUGCUUAACACAUGCAAGUCGAGCGGUAAGGCCCUUUCGGGGGUACACGAGCGGCGAACGGGUGAGUAACACGUGGGUGACCUGCCCUCAGCUCUGGGAUAAGCCUGGGAAACCGGGUCUAAUACUGGAUAUGACUCCAUGACGGCAUGUUGUGGGGUGGAAAGCCUUGUGCGGCUGAGGAUGGGCCCGCGGCCUAGUCAGCUUGUUGGUGGGGUGAGGCCUACCAAGGCGACGACGGGUAGCCGGCCUGAGAGGGCGACCGGCCACACUGGGACUGAGACACGGCCCAGACUCCUACGGGAGGCAGCAGUGGGGAAUCUUGCGCAAUGGGCGAAAGCCUGACGCAGCGACGCCGCGUGAGGGAUGACGGCCU